UACGUAGGGGGCUAGCGUUGUCCGGAUUUAUUGGGCGUAAAGAGCUCGUAGGCGGUCUGUUGCGUCGGCUGUGAAAACCCGGGGCUCAACUCCGGGCCUGCAGUCGAUACGGGCAGACUAGAGUUCGGUAGGGGAGACUGGAAUUCCUGGUGUAGCGGUGAAAUGCGCAGAUAUCAGGAGGAACACCGGUGGCGAAGGCGGGUCUCUGGGCCGAUACUGACGCUGAGGAGCGAAAGCGUGGGGAGCGAACAGG
rnacentral:rRNA from 1 species